CAGCCGCCGCGGUAAUACGAAGGGGGCUAGCGUUACUCGGAAUUACUGGGCGUAAAGGGCGCGUAGGCGGCGCUCCAAGUUAGGCGUGAAAGUCCUGGGCUCAACCUGGGAACUGCGCUUAAGACUGGAGUGCUUGAGGAUGGAAGAGGGUUGUGGAAUUCCCAGUGUAGAGGUGAAAUUCGUAGAUAUUGGGAAGAACACCGGUGGCGAAGGCGGCAACCUGGUCCAUUACUGACGCUGAGGCGCGACAGCGUGGGGAGCAAACAGGAUUAGAUACCCGGGUAGUCCCUGUCUCUUAUAC
rnacentral:rRNA from 1 species